UACGAAGGGUGCAAGCGUUGCUCGGAAUCACUGGGCGUAAAGGGUGCGUAGGCGGGUCUUUAAGUCAGGGGUGAAAUCCUGGAGCUCAACUCCAGAACUGCCUUUGAUACUGAGGAUCUUGAGUAUGGGAGAGGUGAGUGGAACUGCGAGUGUAGAGGUGAAAUUCGUAGAUAUUCGCAAGAACACCAGUGGCGAAGGCGGCUCACUGGCCCAUUACUGACGCUGAGGCACGAAAGCGUGGGGAGCAAACAGG
rnacentral:rRNA from 1 species